CGCGAUGAAAUUUGAGAGAGCAGAAAUGCUGAGACGAAAGCCAACCAAGAUCGAACUCAAAAUCGAAGACAAAGACGAACUCGAAAAAGCUCGCAAGCAGCGCGCCGCCGCCACCUCCAUCACCACAACCACCGCCGCCACUACUCUUCUCCACCACGUCGACCGCGCCAAAGACCCCUCCUCCAAAACGCACCGUAUCGGCCUUCCUCAGUAAUCGAAUUUCGAACGCCUCCAAAUAUCUUUAUGUCUCAAAUCCCCAAAGCUCUGAUGGAAGUGGAGGUCAAGCUCCGGCUCCUGGACGCCGCCGCCCACCGCCAAGUCACCACCCUCCUGGCGCCAUUCCUCGUCGCCACACACCGCCAGGAGAAUCUCUUCUUCGACGGCUCCAAAGCCGAGCUCGCGGCGCGCCGGGCCGUCCUCCGGCUACGAUUCUCCGACAGGAGCCCUCUCUGUGCCGUGACGCUCAAGGCGCGGGCAGUGCUGGUCCAAGGCGUCAGCCGAGUUGAGGAGGACGAGGAGGAGCUCGACCAUUCGAUCGGGCGGGCCUGCGCUGCCGAGCCAGAGAAGCUGAUGACGGCGGAGUCUAGGGUUCUGAGGAGGGUGAGAGAGGAAUUUGGGGUUUUAGGGUUUGUGGGAUUGGGAGGGUUCAGGAAUGUGAGGGAUGUGUAUGAUUGGAAAGGCUUGAAAUUGGAGGUGGAUGAGACUAAGUAUGAUUUUGGUACUUGUUAUGAGAUUGAGUGUGAGAGUGCUGACCCUGAAGGAGUCAAGGUGGUGCUUGAGGACUUGUUGAAGGAAAAUGGGGUUCGGUAUUCUUACUCAGAAGUAUCAAAGUUUGCAAUUUUUCGAGCUGGGAAGCUGCCCGUUACCGAGUGAAUGGGACCCUCUUCUUCUCUAUCCCAAGAGACCCACGAUCCCCAAACUCCAUUAAGGACAAGAAGAUUGAGGACUCAAUCGAGAGACCGCCAUCCAGUGGUUGGGCAACAACUAGUUGUCGGAUGCCGAUGAGUUCGAAGACAAGAUGGAGUUGGAGAGCAUCUGCAACCCAAGCACAAGGUGAAAUUAUUUAGGUUUUGUGAACUUGAAAUUUUAUGUUUUAUCUGGGACUUGAAAUUAUAGAUCAAUACCUCUCUUUUUUUACAAGGGAAUUGAUUGAAAUUGCUUAGAUUUAAAAACCCUAAGAUCUUACGGUGGUUGUUUUGAUGGAACUGUUGAUAAUGAUGUUGUUCAAAGAAGCGAAUCUUCAAAUAAGGAGAACGAAGAGGAAGAGGAAAGACCACCAAACUUGAGGUGUGAGUGAAAGAUUUGGACCCGUGGGGACCCGUAGGAACCGGCCCGUUUCAAAAGGGCCGGGUUAGGUCCGGAUCAUAUUUUGAAAAUUCCAAAACGCGCCCCACCCCGCCCCGUUGUAUUUACGAAUGGGUCCGGUCCUGUUCCUUCAAUUUUGGGCCCGGCCCGGCCCGUGCCCAUCCCUAAUAUUAUCUACACUAAGGGGGAGGGGGUGGGCUU